CAUUAUCCAAUCCUGGAAAACCGUAUUUCAUAAUUUGAGAGACCCGAUUCGGUUGAUCCAAUUGGGAUGGCUUUGGUGUAUCAGGAACGAAUGGUGUUGCAGCUGACACCGUUCCAAAUAUCGGAAGUGCUGGCAUUGCGUGUGUACCUGUUUAAUAUCUUUGCCAGCAUGAAGAACAUAAGGAUUAACCGAUUGGUCAAUAAGUGUGUUGCAACGAUUCCGUUCAUAUGUAAUGCCACCUAUGAAACUGCCAAUUGUGAGACCAGAUAACGUGGCAAGACGAAAUGCAAAUUUUUUGUUCAUUUUCAAUUCGAUAUCACGGAUAAAUACCUCACAGCCAAACUAUUGCUUCAAGUUUUAUUGAAGCAUAUUUAAAUUCAAAAAUUUCAACCACAAGUCCCGAACACAGAGCGGACGAUAGUAUGACUUUUGAAUAGAUUGAGGCUAAGGGGUAAUCAUGAAGCAUUUGUCAAAUGAACCAUGAAUCAAAUUGGCAAAUUUGAAACGACAACGAAAUGAAACCACAAACGUUCGCUGACACCUGAAUUGAAAACAAUGAUUUUUCAUUUAUUUUUCAUAUUUAUUUAUUUUUUUAUUCAAAAUGGAAAAAAAAAUUGAAUACAAAACUAGGGGAAUGGUUUCUUUUAAUGCAAUGAUGAAAAUGACCAGUAGUUCUAACAGAGAAAUGUUACGAUUUUAGUAGAGAUGCAAUCAAUUUGAAUUGAUUUUCUUGUUUAUUUCAUUAAAAAUCCACUUAGCGCUAAUUUAAAUAUUAAAAAUACGUUCGUAGUUGCAUUUAGUUAUUUUUGUUUGUUUGUUUGUUUUUAGAAUUAGGGUCAAAUUAAAGGUACAUUCGUGGACAUUGGACAAAUGAAAAUUACUAUAUCUAAUUUGUUAAAUACUCCAGUUUUUUUUUUUUUUGUCAUUAGAAACAUGAAUAAUCUCUCGUGGUUACUGUUGUUCAAACCAAAUUGAAAUUUAUGAAGAAAAAAUCCUGUUUUGUUUUAUUAAAUUAGCUCUCACA